AACGAACGCUGGCGGCAGGCCUAACACAUGCAAGUCGAGCGCACCCUUCGGGGUGAGCGGCGGACGGGUGAGUAACGCGUGGGAACGUGCCCUUCUCUGCGGAAUAGCCUCGGGAAACUGAGAGUAAUACCGCAUACGCCCUUUGGGGGAAAGAUUUAUCGGAGAAGGAUCGGCCCGCGUUGGAUUAGGUAGUUGGUGGGGUAAUGGCCCACCAAGCCGACGAUCCAUAGCUGGUUUGAGAGGAUGAUCAGCCACACUGGGACUGAGACACGGCCCAGACUACUACGGGAGGCAGCAGUGGGGAAUCUUAGACAAUGGGGGCAACCCUGAUCUAGCCAUGCCGCGUGAGUGAUGAAGGCCUUAGGGUUGUAAAGCUCUUUCAGCUGGGAAGAUAAUGACGGUACCAGCAGAAGAAGCCCCGGCUAACUCCGUG
rnacentral:rRNA from 1 species